UACAGAACAAGGAUGGGUAUACUUCAGGGGUGAUUUUUAUUACAUUUCUCAUAUUAAAAAGUCCUGGAGUGACAGCAGAGAGGACUGUUUGCAAAGAGGUGCAGACCUGGUGAUUAUCAGCAGCACAGAGGAACAGAACUUCAUAAGGCUGUUCAGGCGUAACACGUGGAUCGGACUGAGUGACACAGAGGAAGAGGGGACGUGGAAGUGGGUGGACGGGAGUUUGCUGAACAGCAGUUUCAGAUACUGGCGAACCGGGGAGCCCAACAGCCUUGGAGACGAAGACUGUGGCGUGAUGGCAGCCAAUGACGAAGAAAACUGCUGGAAUGACGCAAACUGCAGAGAUGAAAACUUUUGGAUCUGUGAAAAAAAGGUGGAACAGUGAUCAGUAGCAGGAAAAUUGUUCCAUCACAUACAGAUGUUAACAUGUUUGUCUCGACUGCUGGCUUGCUAGGUUGUGGAAAAUCCUUUGAAUUGAUAAUUUGUGAGUCUUUUAUAUCUGCUUUUAAAUUCCUUAGGGAGACCUCUAAAGGGAAGUCUGCAGAGCAUGUAGAUGAAACCCUAUUUAUAAAUUGCUGUUAAACCUUAAGUUCCUGUUAUUAUUGUAUACUUACUAACACAUACAUAGAGUUCCACUAGCUGAUGCAAUUUUUAAAAUAAUUCAAAUGUUGAGAGAAUACCAAUAUAAUAGAUGAGAUUUUCUUUUAUAUUACAUUUAAAGUUCCGAAGUUCUCACUUUGUUGUUUGAAUAAACUCAGUUUUCUGGUUUUAACAUUUUGUUUAAUCAGGGUAUGCUGUUGUAGGCUAUUAAAGAACACUUCUUUGUUUCUGUUCCAUAACAGAAGCUAUAAAUGCUACUAAGCCAUCUUUUACAUAACAACGCUAAGCCCUGAGAUCAUAUUACUGUAAAUACAACAAGACAAAAGUCUCUGUAC